AACGAAAGCUGGCGGCAUGCUUAACAAGUGCAAGUCGAACGAGUCCUUCGGGUCUAGCGGCGCACGGGGGCGUAACGCGUGGGGACAUGCCCUUAGGUACGGGACAACGUCGGGAAACUGACGCUAAUACCGUAUAAUAUCUCUGGAACAAAGAUUUAACGCCUAAGGAUUGUCUGGCGUUAGAUAAGGAAGUUGGGGGGGUAAGGGCCUACCAGGCCGACGAUCUAUAGGGGGGCUGAGAGGAUGAUCCCACACACUGGAACUGAGAAACGGUCCAGAAUCCUACAGGAGGCAGCAGUAAGGAAUAUUGGACAAUGGGCGAAAGCCUGAUCCAGCCAUGCCGCGUGAGUGAUGAAGGCCUUAGGGUUGUAAAGCUCUUUUAGAUGGGAAGAUAAUGACUGUACCAUCAGAAUAAGCCCCGGCUAAAUUCGUGCCAGCCGCCGCAGUAA
rnacentral:rRNA from 1 species